GGAAGCGUACCGAAGUGGUCAUAACGGGGCGGUCUUGAAAACCGUUUAGGUGAAAGCCUGCGGGGGUUCGAAUCCCUCCGCUUCCGCCA
rnacentral:tRNA from 1 species